CCUACGGGAGGCUGCAGUGAGGAAUAUUGGUCAAUGGGCGCGAGCCUGAACCAGCCAAGUAGCGUGAAGGAUGACUGCCCUACGGGUUGUAAACUUCUGUUAUAAAGGAAUAAAGUGAGGCACGUGUGCCUUUUUGUAUGUACUUUAUGAAUAAGGAUAGGCUAACGCCGUGCCAGCAGCCGCGGUAAUACGGAGGAUCCGAGCGUUAUCCGGAUUUAUUGGGUUUAAAGGGAGCGUAGAUGGGUUGUUAAGUCAGUUGUGUAAGUUUGCGGCUCAACCGUAAAAUUGCAAUUGAUACUGGCAGCCUUGAGUACAGUUGAGGUCGGCGGUAUUCGUGGUGUAGCGG
rnacentral:rRNA from 1 species